rnacentral:rRNA from 1 species
AGUGAACGCUGGCGGUAGGCCUAACACAUGCAAGUCGAACGGCAGCACAGUAAGAGCUUGCUCUUACGGGUGGCGAGUGGCGGACGGGUGAGGAAUACAUCGGAAUCUACUUUUUCGUGGGGGAUAACGUAGGGAAACUUACGCUAAUACCGCAUACGACCUACGGGUGAAAGCAGGGGAUCUUCGGACCUUGCGCGAUUGAAUGAGCCGAUGUCGGAUUAGCUAGUUGGCGGGGUAAAGGCCCACCAAGGCGACGAUCCGUAGCUGGUCUGAGAGGAUGAUCGGCCACAUUGGAACUGAGACACGGUCCAGACUCCUACGGGAGGCCGCAGUGGGGAAUAUUGGACAAUGGGCGCAAGCCUGAUCCAGCCAUACCGCGUGGGUGAAGAAGGCCUUCGGGUUGUAAAGCCCUUUUGUUGGGAAAGAAAAGCAGCAGGUUAAUACCCCGCUGUUCUGACGGUACCCAAAGAAUAAGCACCGGCUAACUUCGUG